GCCAGCAUGGUGUAGUGGUUUGAGCAUUGGACUACGACUCUGAAGAUCAGGGUUCAAUUCCCUGCUCUUGCA